rnacentral:rRNA from 1 species
CAGUAGCCACGGUAAUACGUAGGUGGCAAGCGUUGUCCGGAAUUAUUGGGCGUAAAGGGCUCGCAGGCGGUUUCUUAAGUCUGAUGUGAAAGCCCCCGGCUCAACCGGGGAGGGUCAUUGGAAACUGGGAAACUCGAGUGCAGAAGAGGAGAGUGGAAUUCCACGUGUAGCGGUGAAAUGCGUAGAGAUGUGGAGGAACACCAGUGGCGAAGGCGACUCUCUGGUCUGUAACUGACGCUGAGGAGCGAAAGCGUGGGGAGCGAACAGGAUUAGAUACCCCUGUAGUCCCUGUCUCUUAUAC